GACGAACGCUGGCGGCGUGCCUAAUACAUGCAAGUAGGAGCAAGUUGCGAACGGGAGAGUAGCGCGUCGGUCACUACCUAUGAGAGGGGGAUAAAUAUUGGAAACGAUAGCUCAUACCGCCUCCAUGUAGAUUGAGCUACGUUGUAUUAGCGAGUAGGUCGGGUAAGGGCGUACCUAGGCAACGAUACAUAGCCGACCUGAGAGGGUGAUCGGCCACACUGGGACUGAGACACGGCCCAGACUCCUACGGGAGGCAGCAGUGGGGAAUAUUGGACAAUGGGCGCAAGCCUGAUCCAGCCAUGCCGCGUGUGUGAAGAAGGUCUUCGGAUUGUAAAGCACUUUAAGUUGGGAGGCGUUACCAACAGAAUAAGCACCGGCUAACUUCGUGCCAGCAGCCGCGGUAAUAC
rnacentral:rRNA from 1 species